rnacentral:lncRNA from 1 species
GCUGGUUUCUCUUCAGUGUUUCCCAUACAAACAGGUUCUCAUUGCUCAUGCGCAAGAGAGAGAAAAAUCAUCUGAUAUAUUUUAUUAAUAUUUAAAGGCCACCUGGAAAGCAAGCCUUAUCUAACAACCAUGGGAAACAAAAGACAGAAGGAAACACAGAGACUGAACACUAUGCUACGCCCGGAGUUGCGCUUCCUCGCAGAGUCGCGACGCCUCAGUCUCCCUCUGCCAGAUAACUACUGUUCUCGCCAGUUUUACCAAUAAAAUAAUUGAGGUUUUGAGAGUUUAGAUAAUUUCCUCCACGUCAGGCAGCUGGGAAGGUGAAGCGUUUGCCCACCUCAGGGUCUUGUACUAUGUCUAUCGAGUGUCUAUCUUCCUUCUCAACUGUAUCAUCACGACCACCCCCACACACGUCUGCUUAACAUUAUUCACCAUUAUUAAGCAGGGCUACCAUGUUCAGCUUCAUAGACUGUGCUCUGCAAAAGACCCCAGAGCACCAUUCACAUAGAUUUCAAUGUAAAAGAUGCUCCCUAUGGUUGUACAGUGCCCAACCUGCACAAACACACAUGGCAAACCUCUCUUAAGGUUUUGGCUUAAGCAUUACUUCCUCGGGGGGGCUGGAUAGAUCUCCACUCACGCUGCACCUGUAUUCUCCUUCAAAGCAUCUAUAACAAGUACACUUAAGUAGUUAUUUUCAUAAUUAAUGUUUGAUAUCUGACCUCCCU